UUUCGCGGAGCCCUAGGACAUCCACGGU
rnacentral:piRNA from 1 species